rnacentral:rRNA from 1 species
AACGAACGCUGGCGGCAGGCCUAACACAUGCAAGUCGAACGUGAAGCCACCUUCGGGUGGUGGAAAGUGGCAGACGGGUGAGUAACGCGUGGGAACGUGCCUUUCGGUUCGGAAUAACCCAGGGAAACUUGGGCUAAUGCCGGAUACGCCCUCCGGGGGAAAGAUUUAUCGCCGAAAGAUCGGCCCGCGUCGGAUUAGCUUGUUGGUGGGGUAAAAGCCUACCAAGGCGACGAUCCGUAGCUGGUCUGAGAGGAUGAUCAGCCACACUGGGACUGAGACACGGCCCAGACUCCUACGGGAGGCAGCAGUGGGGAAUAUUGGACAAUGGGCGCAAGCCUGAUCCAGCCAUGCCGCGUGGGUGAAGAAGGCCCUAGGGUUGUAAAUCCCUUUCAGCGGGGACGAUAAUGACGGUACCCGCAGAAGAAGCCCCGGCUAACUCCGUG